AUUGAACGCUGGCGGCAGGCCUAACACAUGCAAGUCGAGCGGAUGAAGGGAGCUUGCUCCUGGAUUCAGCUGCGGACGGGUGAGUAAUGCCUAGGAAUCUGCCUGGUAGUGGGGGCUAACGUCCGGAAACGGGCGCUAAUACCGCAUCCGUCCUGAGGGAGAAAGUGGGGGAUCUUCGGACCUCACGCUAUCAGAUGAGCCUAGGUCGGAUUAGCUAGUUGGUGGGGUAAAGGCCUACCAAGGCGACGAUCCGUAACUGGUCUGAGAGGAUGAUCAGUCACACUGGAACUGAGACACGGUCCAGACUCCUACGGGAGGCAGCAGUGGGGAAUAUUCGACAAUGGGCGAAAGCCUGAUCCAGCCAUGCCGCGUGUGUGAAGAAGGUCUUCGGAUUGUAAAGCACUUUAAGUUGGGAGGAAGGGCAGUAAGUUAAUACCUUGCUGUUUUGACGUUACCAACAGAAUAAGCACCGGCUAACUUCGUG
rnacentral:rRNA from 1 species